CACUAUUACGGAGUGUGUUCGUGAUUCUUGCUCAGGACGAACGCUGGCGGCGUGCCUAAUACAUGCAAGUCGAACGCUUCUUUUUCCACCGGAGCUUGCUCCACCGGAAAAAGAGGAGUGGCGAACGGGUGAGUAACACGUGGGUAACCUGCCCAUCAGAAGGGGAUAACACUUGGAAACAGGUGCUAAUACCGUAUAACAAUCGAAACCGCAUGGUUUUGAUUUGAAAGGCGCUUUCGGGUGUCGCUGAUGGAUGGACCCGCGGUGCAUUAGCUAGUUGGUGAGGUAACGGCUCACCAAGGCCACGAUGCAUAGCCGACCUGAGAGGGUGAUCGGCCACAUUGGGACUGAGACACGGCCCAAACUCCUACGGGAGGCAGCAGUAGGGAAUCUUCGGCAAUGGACGAAAGUCUGACCGAGCAACGCCGCGUGAGUGAAGAAGGUUUUCGGAUCGUAAAACUCUGUUGUUAGAGAAGAACAAGGAUGAGAGUAACUGUUCAUCCCUUGACGGUAUCUAACCAGAAAGCCACGGCUAACUACGUGCCAGCAGCCGCGGUAAUACGUAGGUGGCAAGCGUUGUCCGGAUUUAUUGGGCGUAAAGCGAGCGCAGGCGGUUUCUUAAGUCUGAUGUGAAAGCCCCCGGCUCAACCGGGGAGGGUCAUUGGAAACUGGGAGACUUGAGUGCAGAAGAGGAGAGUGGAAUUCCAUGUGUAGCGGUGAAAUGCGUAGAUAUAUGGAGGAACACCAGUGGCGAAGGCGGCUCUCUGGUCUGUAACUGACGCUGAGGCUCGAAAGCGUGGGGAGCAAACAGGAUUAGAUACCCUGGUAGUCCACGCCGUAAACGAUGAGUGCUAAGUGUUGGAGGGUUUCCGCCCUUCAGUGCUGCAGCUAACGCAUUAAGCACUCCGCCUGGGGAGACCAUCUACC
rnacentral:rRNA from 1 species